CCCAAACUAGAGUUAGACUGAAACAACUUCUCUGCAAUUUGAUUUUCACAUAUGCUUCUGUUAUUCAAACGUCCUCAUUCAUUUAUGCAGCUUUCUGAAGGGCUCUGAGCGGCAAAGUUGGCUUUCAUUGGUUUUGAAGCCCCAAACGCAGCUAAAAGCAGGCCGAAUGCUGUUCAAGGCCACACAGCUUCUGGAGUUACCAGCAGAGAGAAACGAGGUGCAAGAAUGGAAGGGAAGGAGAAGCAGUCCCUGGACUACAGACCACAGGAGAGCAGCUCGAGAGCGAACUGUCUGUCAUCAAGCUGUUAAUGUUCCCGUGAUGCCAAGUUCUGAGGAAGCAGAUGGACCAAAAGAGCAACAAGGAGAAAGCAAAGAGGCCUCAUGACAUCUGAAUGUACAGCACACGCUGCGUGAAAGCCAAACACGCAGCUGAACGACCGGACUCAACUUCCCCUCCUCCUUCACAACACCAACAAGCGACAAUAAAAACUCUUAUUUUGUUUUAAUUAAAAAUGUUUACCUUAUUAGUUUAAUAUUCCAUAGACUGAUCAUAAGUUUGAAGGUGAACGUGGAGACUAAAUACACGGCUUUUCCUAAUCGUUUUUUGCUCUUUAUUCAAACAGCAGAGACAUCAAACAUUUGCCAUAAUUUAUUAACAAGCCACAAAAAGUACAAAAACAUCUCAUCCUAAUUGUACACCUAACUGGCAUUUGAAUAAACUUUUGAAGAGUA